UGUAGUGAAAUAUCUUCCAUAAUCCAUCUGAAGCUAAGCAGGUUUGGGCCUGGUCUGACUAGUACUUGGAUGGGAGACCAGCUAAGAAAGCCAGGCUGCUGCUGUCC
rnacentral:rRNA from 1 species